GCCUAACACAUGCAAGUCGAGCGGCAGCACGGGAAGCUUGCUUCCUGGUGGCGAGCGGCGGACGGGUGAGUAAUGCAUAGGAAUCUGCCCGGUAGUGGGGGAUAACCUGGGGAAACCCAGGCUGAUACCGCAUACGUCCUACGGGAGAAAGCAGGGGCUCUUCGGACCUUGCGCUAUCGGAUGAGCCUAUGUCGGAUUAGCUGGUUGGUGAGGUAAUGGCUCACCAAGGCGACGAUCCGUAGCUGGUCUGAGAGGAUGAUCAGCCACAUCGGGACUGAGACACGGCCCGAACUCCUACGGGAGGCAGCAGUGGGGAAUAUUGGACAAUGGGCGCAAGCCUGAUCCAGCCAUGCCGCGUGUGUGAAGAAGGCCCUCGGGUUGUAAAGCACUUUCAGUGGGGAAGAACGCCUUCCGGUUAAUACCCGGGAGGAAAGACAUCACCCACAGAAGAAGCACCGGCUAACUCCGUGCCAGCAGCCGCGGUAAUACGGAGGGUGCGAGCGUUAAUCGGAAUUACUGGGCGUAAAGCGCGCGUAGGUGGCUUGAUAAGCCGGUUGUGAAAGCCCCGGGCUCAACCUGGGAACGGCAUCCGGAACUGUCAGGCUAGAGUGCAGGAGAGGAAGGUAGAAUUCCCGGUGUAGCGUGAAAUGCGUAGAGAUCGGGAGGAAUACCAGNGCCGGAGGCGGCCUUCUGGACUGACACUGNCACUGAGGUGCGAAAGCGUGGGUAGCAAACAGGAUUAGAUACCCUGGUAGUCCCGCCGUAAACGAUGUCGACUAGCCGUUGGGUCCUUCGCGGACUUUGUGGCGCAGUUAACGCGAUAAGUCGACCGCCUGGGGAGUACGGCCGCAAGGUUAAAACUCAAAUGAAUUGACGGGGGCCCGCACAAGCGGUGGAGCAUGUGGUUUAAUUCGAUGCAACGCGAAGAACCUUACCUACCCUUGACAUCCUGCGAACCCUUCGGAGACGAAGGGGUGCCUUCGGGAACGCAGAGACAGGUGCUGCAUGGCUGUCGUCAGCUCGUGUUGUGAAAUGUUGGGUUAAGUCCCGUAACGAGCGCAACCCUUGUCCCUAUUUGCCAGCGAUUCGGUCGGGAACUCUAGGGAGACUGCCGGUGACAAACCGGAGGAAGGUGGGGACGACGUCAAGUCAUCAUGGCCCUUACGGGUAGGGCUACACACGUGCUACAAUGGUCAGUACAAAGGGUUGCGAACUUGCGAGAGUGAGCCAAUCCCAGAAAGCUGAUCUCAGUCCGGAUCGGAGUCUGCAACUCGACUCCGUGAAGUCGGAAUCGCUAGUAAUCGUGAAUCAGAAUGUCACGGUGAAUACGUUCCCGGGCCUUGUACACACCGCCCGUCACACCAUGGGAGUGGACUGCACCAGAAGUGGUUAGCCUAACCUUCGGGAGGGCGAUCACCACGGUGUGGUUCAUGACUGGGGUGAAGUCGUAACAAGGUAGCCGUAGGGGAACCUGCGGCUGGAUCACCUCC
rnacentral:rRNA from 1 species